CUACGGGCCGCUGCAGUCGAGAAUCUUCCGCAAUGGACGAAAGUCUGACGGAGCGACGCCGCGUGCGGGAUGAAGGCCUUCGGGUUGUAAACUGCUGUCAGUGGGGAGGAAAUGCAUCAGGGUUCUCCCUGGUGUUUGACCGAUCCGCAGAGGAAGCGCAGGCUAAGUUCGUGCCAGCAGCCGCGGUAACACGAACUGCGCGAACGUUAUUCGGAAUCACUGGGCUUAAAGAGUUCGUAGGCGGCCUUUCAAGUCGGGUGUGAAAUCCCUCGGCUCAACCGAGGAAUUGCGCCUGAUACUGUUGGGCUUGAGGGGGAUAGGGGUGAGCGGAACUGAUGGUGGAGCGGUGAAAUGCGUUGAUAUCAUCAGGAACACCGGUGGCGAAGGCGGCUCACUGGAUCUCUUCUGACGCUGAGGAACGAAAGCUAGGGGAGCGAACGGGAUUAGAUACCCGUGUAGUC
rnacentral:rRNA from 1 species